GACGAAGGAUGCAAGCGUUAUCCGGAUUCAUUGGGUUUAAAGGGCGCGUAGGUGGACUUGUAAGUCAGUGGUGAAAUCUUUGGGCUUAACCCAGAAACUGCCAUUGAUACUGCAGGUCUAGAGUACAGUUGCCGUUGGCGGAAUAUGACAUGUAGUGGUGAAAUACUUAGAUAUGUCAUAGAACACCGAUUGCGAAGGCAGCUAACGAGGCUGUAACUGACACUGAGGCUCGAAAGUGCGGGGAUCAAACAGG
rnacentral:rRNA from 1 species